AGCCAUAGCCUUACGAAACAGAGCAAAGUUAAAUCCCUAAGUCCUUGAGAUGAUUAGUGCAAUGUCAUGACGUUAUGAUGUUAUGAUGUUAUGAUGUUAAGUAAACAACAAGCACAAACAAGUCACACAACAAUCCUUCCUAGGUUUUAAGGCUUGCAUGAGUUCCAUAGGUAAGUACCCUCCCCACUGAAGUUUGGUUGGUUCAACCUGUCCUAGAAUAG
rnacentral:lncRNA from 1 species